rnacentral:lncRNA from 1 species
CAGUAGACAGCAAAUUUUGUCUAUGUUUAUAAAAGUGUUACAAAUAAACUCAUCAUAGAUAUCAGGACAGAAAUUAUAUAUUAACGCCAGACGCACGUUUCGUCUUCAAAAGACUCAUCGGUGACACUCGAAUCAAAAAAAUGUUAAAAGGUCAAAUAAGUACGAAGUUGAAGAGCAUUCAGGACUGAAAAUUCCUAUAGGUUUUGCCAAAUACAGCUAAGGUAAUCUAUUCCUGAGGAAGAAAAGCCUUAGUAUUUCAAAUAUUCAAAAUUUUGUUAACAGUUAAUUUGUGAUUAUGAACAUAUCAAUGAUAAGUCAAGUCAACACCGA